ACUCCUACGGGAGGCAGCAGUGGGGAAUUUUGGACAAUGGGCGAAAGCCUGAUCCAGCAAUGCCGCGUGAGUGAAGAAGGCCUUCGGGUUGUAAAGCUCUUUUGUCAGGGAAGAAACGGUGAAAGCUAAUAUCUUUUGCUAAUGACGGUACCUGAAGAAUAAGCACCGGCUAACUACGUGCCAGCAGCCGCGGUAAUACGUAGGGUGCAAGCGUUAAUCGGAAUUACUGGGCGUAAAGCGUGCGCAGGCGGUUUUGUAAGUCUGAUGUGAAAUCCCCGGGCUCAACCUGGGAAUUGCAUUGGAGACGGCAAGGCUAGAAUCUGGCAGAGGGGGGUAGAAUUCCACGUGUAGUAGUGAAAUGCGUAGAUAUGUGGAGGAACACCGAUGGCGAAGGCAGCCCCCUGGGUCAAGAUUGACGCUCAUGCACGAAAGCGUGGGGAGCAAACAGGAUUAGAAACUCCUGUAGUCCCAUG
rnacentral:rRNA from 1 species